rnacentral:lncRNA from 1 species
ACAAAACGUACAUGACUUGCAGGAAAGAGAGUGAACGGAUGGAGCUUGGUUGCCGAUUGGGUGGGAAGGCCGCAGGGCGUGUGGGGUAGGAUGGGCCGGACUCUAGGGGUGCGCGUGGGAUGCGAUAUGGGGUGGCGACGGUAUCUGAGACGUGCGAAGGUUAACCCCGAUCUGGGUUUAAGUCGACCCAUUUGGGUUCUUGAGGGGCUGGAUGCAGAGGACUUCCGUUUGAGUUUGCACUCCGCUGCUGGCGCUGCGACUGCUGGCGCUGCUAUUGUUGAUCAACUUGCUUUGUUUCUGUUCUGGACAUGCGUGCACGUAUUCAUGUGGGUCAGGAUCCAUCUGUCGUUUUUGUUGAUUUUUCAAAUUCUGUUCUGACUCCGCAGAGAUGGGAUCUGGGUCAGCCAUCGACAACCGUACGGAGACGCAUCACCAAGCACAUGCCGAUUGAGUCCGCAGGGGUCCAACUUACGCCUAGCUUGCCAGUUGCUCUAAGUUUCAGCACGGCUGGCACAGGCGAUAUAAGCAUAAGUGAUGCCAGGAGGUUCCCAAACGCUGGUACCACGUUGAGCAGCACAACCGAAGGCAUGUUGCUGGUGUCGGGCAAGGGUUUGACUUAUUACAGAUGCCAAUCGUCAAGGUAUUGCACCGUUAUAUAACUAGCAAACCGUAUUUUAUCCUUACGUCAAUUGUCAGCGACAGCAUAAUAAUUGAAAUCCCUGCAACUAUACUUGGUUUCUUUUAGAAUGAGGGAUCAGAAGGAAUGAUUUACGAUGCAUGUACGCUCGGGUUUGCAUAUCCUGCGCUCAUUUGCGUGCCGGAACAGUUAAACGGCCCGUACGGAAGGCGCAUGCAAGUAACCUGCACGCUGCCAGCCACAUUUGCAUUGGAUAGCUGACCAAACCCUUGGACACACUGCUACAUGAAGCGUCCAGCAGUUUCACUUUUCGGGCAACGUGUGCAAGGAUGGUUUCCAAGGAAUCAUGAGCUUAACAAGUACUAAAGUGGCAGGCGAGCAAGCACACUCCCCGGAAAAGUUUGGAUUCAUUAACUCCAGCAUCGCAUACUAAACUCCUGGGUGGUGGCAGUGCAAGUCAUCACAAGUGAUUGACGCCGCCAUCUAACCCAACACGGCCAAUGCAUCUCAACCUCUCUAUGCGCAUCCUAUUCGGUGGAGCGAGAGCGACACCUUUGCGUUACACCCUGGAACACCAUCGCGUACACGUCGCGUACCCUGACCACCCAGGUCCCCCUUGCGCCCUCCCUAGGCAGGCACCCACCAGGACACAUAUUCCAAACCCGUGCGGUGAUGCAAUCAACCCAUGCAUCUCUCUCUCCCAUCCUCUUCAAGAACAAGAAAAAGCAACAACAGACCGAUCAAGCGAGCAAAAGAGCUCGAAACAAGCCAGCAAAAAGUAACACACAUAUCGCUCUGAUGUCAGAGGAGCAGGCCACGCCACAACGAAACUAGGCACGGGUUAACAAGGAGGUAACCGGAUCUUUCAAAAUGUGCGGUGGGUUUCGGGGCGAGUGGAGCGACCCCGUCCCUCAGAAACGGCAAGGGCUGGGAGCCGUACCACCCACUACCACUCCAAGUGCAAGUGCGAUGCAUAGCCCGGAAAGAAUCGUCCUGCGCCCAGCCGCGCGAUGCACUGCACUGUACUUCACUGUACUGCAUCGUACUGCACGCGCACAUGUGUGCACUUUUGUAUUGUUGUACACCGAGCUCUCGGUGUGCGUCACACUUCAGUUUUGCCACAAAAGAAUUUCAACUGCAACACCACCCCACAACAGUGAGGAAGCACGAACAGAUUAGUCAUGCGAGGUUACUGACAAUGUGCACAUCGUGCACGUCGGGAGGAAGGGGUACGACGAAGCGCAGGCGAACCACUGCGGGGGGAGGAAGGCGGAGGAGGACGACCAGAACGAUGGGUGGGAAACCCAACAUGAAAGUGGGUAUACCGCAAAAUGAAGAGGCCACGAGGCAAGCAGCAGCUGUCGGCAAAAGCGUGUUACCAGCAAACACUAAGACAAACACCCUAGUGCCGCAAAGCACACAACUAGUAGCAUACAUCUAAACAUACGCACAUACAGGCACACACACGCUCCCGGGCGGGUGCAAUGCGUAAGCGCUCUUCCUCACGUGGAAACGCAAUACGUUACGUCGUUGGCAACGCCGUUCCCAUCCACUGUCCAUUCCUCAUACAAAAGGCAGGUACAAAAGGUACGGCAAACACACGUCGAUACACCCCUUCCUCCCCCUCGCCACUCUCUCACUUCUUCUUUUCCAAUCUCUCACUCCCAAUCACGAUAAUCAUCAACACCCACACACUCCUAAAACACACCAAACACAGAUAUACACUUCCCUCCCUCCCCUUCCUCCCCUCCCCUCCACUCUCCCCCUUCUUCGUUGGGUGACACUCCCUUUCCGUUCUGGCAUUUUCGCAUCCCGACGCGCACACAUACGCAGCACUCAUCCCCGGGCUGCUGAUGCGGGUGUACGGCGGGGCCGUACGAGGGCCUCCUCGUCACUCUCCGUUCCCGCCCUCCCGAUGUCGUACGUGGACCCGGCCUUUGGCGUAGGUAGGUGAUGAAGGGGGAGGGGGGAGGGGCCGGAGGGAGUUCGGAAAGGGGGAAAAGUGGACGAGAAAGCGGCAAGGAAGGAGAUAAAACACGGGUUGUGGUAAGGAGAGAUACGCGAGACGGGUAGGAGACAGACAGACAGAUAGACAGACAGACAGAACGGACGUGUGCACGGGCGGAUGAGAGCGUUUGUAUGAAUCCGGAUCAUAUCUAUGCCGUGUCCGAUGUUGAAUACAUCUUGAGGGUCUUUCGACCCUCGUGUGGCUCGCAGGUGCUGUUCCGAGAAAGCCGGGUGGGGAGGGGGAGUCGCCGGGGGGUGCUGAAGACGCGAGAGGAUGCGAGAGGAUGCGAGAUCUGAAGCGGGACUCCGACUCACUACAGAAGGGCCUCAUGUGCGGAGCUGAUGCAUAGGGAUGACUCAGUGACGUGCGGUAAUAAUGAGCUCAAAGGGACGGGCGGGUACACAAAACACACAUACAUACACACAUACACACACGGGCGCAGGAACGAAAAGGUGGCCCCUCCUCCCAACCCCGGCCAGAAUGGGAGGUCGCCCACAAAGCCAGCCAGCUUCGGGCAGGUAUUCGUGUAACUGCAGACUUUCGGAGGCGGUACUUCUUGGGAAUUCUACCCUUCAGUUUGUACAAUGUAUUCAGUUUAUUCAGUUUUGUUGGGUUCCAUCCCCCAUCUGUGAACCUCUCAUCAGCUCGCUCACCACGUAGUCGACAACGAACUUGGGUGGCAGGUGACCGUUGAUAAUUCGGUUGAUGGUUGUGAACAGGGGGUAGUUGCUCUCCCAGCAUCGGGCCUGAAGAGGAAAAGGGGGAUUACUGGAGUUACUGUGUAGCGGGUAGGUGGGAACUGAACUGACCAGGGG